GCUGGCGGCAAAGCUGGAAAAGACAGUGGAAAGGCCAAGGCUAAAGCAGUAUCUCGUUCACAAAGAGCUGGAUUACAGUUUCCAGUGGGCCGUAUCCACCGACACUUGAAGACUCGUACCACAAGCCAUGGAAGGGUUGGUGCCACAGCAGCAGUGUAUAGUGCUGCAAUUUUGGAAUAUCUCACUGCUGAGGUAUUGGAACUGGCAGGUAAUGCUUCUAAGGAUCUCAAAGUAAAGCGUAUCACUCCACGUCAUUUGCAGCUCGCAAUCCGUGGUGAUGAAGAGUUGGAUUCUCUUAUCAAGGCUACCAUAGCUGGAGGUGGUGUGAUCCCUCAUAUCCACAAAUCACUGAUUGGAAAGAAGGGACAGCAAAAAACUGCUUAAGAGAUUUGUUUUAACCAAUCCUCUUUUCCCCUGAAUUUUAUUCUCUAACUGAGAAUAAAUAAUGGAGAUAGGUGGAAUUUUUUUAAAAGUGUUAAAUAGAAUAGCAUAGAUAGUUACUGUAGAUAUGAUACAAGAAACAUUUGUAUGUUUGUAGAUUCAGAGUUUUGCAAAAGUACUUUCAUAUGGAAACAAUUAUGUGUUGAUUGUCUAGGUUUCUCCCAUGUGUUUUAUACAAAAAUGGAAUUGAUAAAUCAUUUACAAAAUU